UGGAAAGAGGAUUCGUCCAAUUGAAGCAGAGGACAGUGGCGGACGGGUGAGUAACGCGUGAGGAACCUGCCUUUCAGAGGGGGACAACAGUUGGAAACGACUGCUAAUACCGCAUGACACAUCGGAGUCGCAUGGCUCUGAUGUCAAAGAUUUAUCGCUGAAAGAUGGCCUCGCGUCUGAUUAGCUAGUUGGUGAGGUAACGGCCCACCAAGGCGACGAUCAGUAGCCGGACUGAGAGGUUGAACGGCCACAUUGGGACUGAGAUACGGCCCAGACUCCUACGGGAGGCAGCAGUGGGGAAUAUUGGGCAAUGGGCGCAAGCCUGACCCAGCAACGCCGCGUGAAGGAAGAAGGCUUUCGGGUUGUAAACUUCUUUUGUCAGGGACGAGUAGAAGACGGUACCUGACGAAUAAGCCACGGCUAACUACGUGCCAGCAGCCGCGGUAAUACGUAGGUGGCAAGCGUUGUCCGGAUUUACUGGGUGUAAAGGGCGUGUAGCCGGGAGGGCAAGUCAGAUGUGAAAUCC
rnacentral:rRNA from 1 species